UGGCAGGCUGCCUGGAUUGUACCCUGGCUUACUAAUCUUUCUGUGCUUUAGUUUUACUCACUUUAAAUUAGUGGAUAACAAUGAUACCUACCUCCUGUACUUACUGUUGGUAUUACAUGGGAUAGUGUAGAAACAAGCACACAAUUUAGUGCAUAAUAAAUGUCACUUAUUAACUGAUAAUAGUAAGUAUUACUGUUGAUUGCUAUUGUUUUUCUUUUUUUCCUUGCAAUAUCAUCAUUUAUUUAUGUACUUUAACAAAGUUCUCUUUUUUCUUUUACUUUUCUCUAAUAUUCAAAAGAGGGUUUGUUGGUAUUAAUUAGUCAAGAAUGCUGAAUAUUGAUGAGGCAAUAGCAAAAUUAGUAGAGGUAUGGACAUCUAGGGAUUCCAGACUUGAAGCUAUACACAGUAGAUGGUGAGAUCUUAGGCAGUCUCCCUUCACGAGGUGUGUGGGGGUAUUAUCAAUAAUAGGAGAGUAGUUGUAUUUGAGAACUGUUUGUUUUUUUAUACACUAAAAUAUUUUUAAAAGUGUAAGUGUAGCAACAAGGGAUACAUGUAGAUUUUUGGCAGUCCACGUAUUGGAUUGUAGUGAAUAUCUGCCUUUUUAUUUGAUCCGCAAUAUUCCAUUCAGUGCCUUUAGAAGCAUUUCCUCUGUGAUUGUGAUUUGGGUGGGGCACAUGGAACCUUCAGUGAUCAGAGAGUCCUCAUUGUCUGCAGAGAGGCAUGCAUCUGUGACUGAGACUUGGAGAACUGGUUACUCUGACCUGGAACUUCAACUCUUCUGAGUGCAAUGCAGAUAUGGGGUUUGUCAUCUUACACUGGCUGGAGCAGCUGCCCUCCCCCCAUGGUUUGCUUCUUCUCACCAUACUUUUCUUUCAGGUAAUUGGGGGAAGGCCAUGGAGACAACAUGGGAGGAAUUAAGCAAGUGGAAGAUAUCACCCUCCAGUGACUAAAGGCUCAAUACAUCAGUAUGCCCAGAAACUCCGUCUAUCCUAUUAUGCUGAAUUACCAAGUGACUCCCCCACUGUGCUACCAUGUCAGCACAGGUUGCCCCACCUGACAGCACUGAGGCGCUGUUCAGAUUGGAGACUGUUCAGAUUGGAGACUGAACUCGCUCAUGGGGUCGUUCAGGAGCCAGGGCGGCUCCUCCAUGGGCCUCCUCCCUCCCCGGGAGGUCAUGCACCUCUGCAGCCAGCAGCACAAGGGGAAGACAACAAACACAGGCAUGAGGGAGGGGGUCUCCAGCCAGGUCUAGCAGGCCUGCAUGUCCACCUUUAUGCUCACUCUGUGUGUUAUUUAUUAGAAGUAGUAUUAAUUUUUAGGAUUUUAUUUAUUUGUUAGAGAGAGAGAGAGAGCAUGAUUGGUGGAGACAGGCAGAGGGAGAGAGAGAAGCCGGCAUCCCCCUGAGCGGGGAGGCACAAUUCCAGAACUCUGAAUCAUAUCCCACAAAACAGAGAAAACACAAUACCAGAUCUGCUCCACAAAACAAAUAAAAGGCAUCUCCUCAAGCUGAAGGAAAAUUUUCUACUUGAAGUACAGACCGUCUGAGUGAAAUGAGAGCAAGAUUUGUGUGUGUGUAUACACACACACAUAUAUAUGGAAAUAAUGCUCCCUAUUUGAAUAUGGAUAUAAAAAUGAACAUGACCAUUUAUGAAUAUACAUGGACAAAAAAAGGGGAAUGAACAUUGACUGUUAAAAAUAAGAAUUAAAAAAAAUAAGAAUUAGUGCAUUCGCAGGCAUGUAGAAUUGAAACAUGUGAGGGUGAUCAUAAAAAGGCAGCGUGAUCAAUCAAUCUAGUGAGUCUUCAGACUGUUUACAAGUAGGAAACCUGCUGUCAGCCACAGAACUGAAAGUAGACAGGAGGCACUGACUCUCCAGCUUGACCACCAACUGAACUGAAAUCAUGUGUAUCCACGCACACUGACAGAGACACAGAGAAACGGAUAUAAAUGUAGACACAUAUGCAGAACUAGGAAGUUAGCAGAGGAGAAGUAACAUCAUUGAAGAUCAUUAAAUAAAAAAAAGAAAUAAAGCUGAAUCUUGAAUGGAGAAAAU
rnacentral:lncRNA from 1 species